rnacentral:rRNA from 1 species
AAACAGAGAAGUGCCUCGCAAGAGGAAUUCGGAGACAGGUGCUGCAUGGCUGUCGUCAGCUCGUGUCGUGAGAUGUUGGGUUAAGUCCCGCAACGAGCGCAACCCUUGUCUUUAGUUGCCAUCAUUAAGUUGGGCACUCUAAAGAGACUGCCGGUGUCAAACCGGAGGAAGGUGGGGAUGACGUCAAGUCCUCAUGGCCUUUAUGACCAGGGCUACACACGUACUACAAUGGCAGGUACAAAGGGCAGCCACUUAGCGAUAAGGCGCGAAUCCCGUAAAACCUGUCUCAGUCCGGAUCGCAGUCUGCAACUCGACUGCGUGAAGUUGGAAUCGCUAGUAAUCGUAGAUCAGCAUGCUACGGUGAAUACGUUCCCGGGCCUU